GGCUAUGUAGCUCAGGGGUUAGAGCACACGGCUCAUAACCGUGGUGUCCGGGGUUCAAAUCCCUGCAUAGCCACCA
rnacentral:tRNA from 1 species